rnacentral:tRNA from 1 species
CAAAAACCCCAAGACUGGUGCUCGAUUCUAUGUUCUUCGUCAUGCUACCACGUCUUCUGACUCUACCGAGACCUUCGCCAUCAACGUGACGACCAGCCUGGGAAGCUUUUACGUUCCGAGAAUUGCACCGUGCCCCAAGCUCGU